AGAUUUCCUGAAAUUACUGAUCGGAACUUCUUGACUUUGGCUCGGAGUUGUGGUGGGAGCCACACUGUAAAUAGUUCGCAACGUCACAACAAACUUCAGCCACUCACAGAGUACCAGAUAGAGGAUGAAACAGUGACCCCACUAAUCCAACAGGAAGACGCAAUAGACAUCCUAGGUACUGACAGUCACAUUUACAAAGGAAGGAUUGGAUUAAAGCUUCCAGCUAUUCCAGAAGAAAAAGCUACUCUUCCUAAGAACAAAGAAAACCCUUCAAGUUUAUCAUCUCUCAAAGCCACUACCCUGUGUUCUGACAGUGCACCAUCUUGUCCCCAAAGUGACAAAGUAUCAUCAUGCAACCGUUCAGGCUCAACUCAAGUUAGGAAAAAUAAACCAGUCUCAUCACAAGGUCAUCCAAUUCUAUCCAGUUUGAAACAUGUCCCUCAGCCACAGCAAAGACCUAAACAGAAGGCAGUGUUACAAGGGCAUGUGACUUUAGAAAUAUGAAUGGACAUAAUUUGGAUCAGCAGCCCAAUAGCUUCAAAUUGAACAAUGAACCCAUAAUCUGGUACCCUCAGACACAAAGGACUUAUCUCAAAGAAAAAUAAACCUCCCAAAUGUAGAAACCAAAUGCACAGAAUAUACAUUGAAAAAUGUCAAAGACAAGCCGGCAGACCUAAACUUUUAAGACAAUGAAUACAUAGCCAUAUAAUGAAACACAAUUUCAAAUGAGUGC